CGGGCAGUAGCUCAGUGGUAGAGCUCCCGCUUCGUAUCCCGGGAGAUGUGGGUUCGAUUCCUGGCUGCUUCC
rfam:Toxocara canis scaffold146, whole genome shotgun sequence.